rnacentral:rRNA from 1 species
GACGAACGCUGGCGGCGUGCUUAACACAUGCAAGUCGAACGGAAAGGCCUCUUUCGGGGGGUACUCGAGUGGCGAACGGGUGAGUAACACGUGAGUAACCUGCCCUUGACUUUGGGAUAACUUCAGGAAACUGGGGCUAAUACCGGAUAGGAGCUCCUGCUGCAUGGUGGGGGUUGGAAGGUUUCGGCGGUUGGGGAUGGACUCGCGGCUUAUCAGCUUGUUGGUGGGGUAGUGGCUUACCAAGGCUUUGACGGGUAGCCGGCCUGAGAGGGUGACCGGCCACAUUGGGACUGAGAUACGGCCCAGACUCCUACGGGAGGCAGCAGUGGGGAAUAUUGCACAAGGGGUGGAAGCCUGAUGCAGCAACGCCGUGUGCGGGAUGACGGCCUUCGGGUUGUAAACCGCUUUCGCUCAUGACGAAGCUUUGUGUGACGGUAGUGGGUAAAGAAGCACCGGCUAACUACGUG